rnacentral:pre_miRNA from 1 species
UCGCCAAAAUUGCUGUGAUGUGUUGUGAAUAUAAAAUCAUAUCACAGCCAUCUUGACGAAU